ensembl:lncRNA
AUGGCUGCAUCUGUUUCAGCUAGUAGAGAAACAAUACCAAGAGCAGAUCUUGGCUCAGCAAGAACAGUACCAGUGCCAAAUACAGGUCUGUACUACUAUACUUGGCCUGUUCUAGAAUACCCGAUGAUGCAUGUAAUGAUGGCUGUUUACACUGUGAUUGUUUUUCUCCUCCAGCUGAUUCAGGAUGAGAUCAAAGCCUUAGUUCAGCUCCAGAACCGACAGACCAGCACACAGACGCACCACGAUUACCCAUAUACCCCUACUGCUACCACCAACACACAGACACAUCACAAUUACCCAUCUACUCUGUCUACUGUCACACAGACACACCCAGACUACACCUCUUCCCCUGUUGUUACUACCAAGGACUACCCUUCACCCCCCACUUCCAACCCCAACCAACCCUCAACCUGCACGGACCUUCCCAAUGGGAACUCGCCCCUCUCUGCUCCCCUCACCUCCCUCUUUGUCCCCCAACCCAUUUUGAGCUCCACCUCCCCUCAACCCCCACCCCCCCGGCCAGAGCCGGUCACCCUAGGAGAGAAGUGUGCUGAUGGGGCAGGGACGGUGCUAUGCAGUGGGUACGGGACCCUGUCGGCCUGGGGCACAGGGCUAGAGGGGACAGUGACUCUGGGGGGAGCAGAGGAGACAGGCCAGGUCGAAGAGGAGCCUAGCUGGUCCCUUCACCUCCAGGACGACACAGACAUCACUCUGAUUGGCCAGGAGGGUCAACAGAGGAGCGCCUCGGCCAAUGAGGUGGCUCCUAGAGCCAAUCCUAGUCCACCACCUGAGCAGCAGAGAACCUCCAGCCAACCACUGACAUCCUGGGCUCAAAGACUGAGACGCAGCAAACCCAAGAAGAGCAGGCUAGGGCAGGCCCAACAUCCCCAGGCCUCCCCCUCACCCCUUCAGGCCCCGUACCUGGGCCAGAGCGACCCUCAGUCCUCUUCCCCCCAGGAGCAGCAGCCAAGCUCCAGGAAGAGCCCCAGAGACAGCCCCCUGGAUGACACUGACUUCCAGGACCAGCAUGGGUGGGCGGCUCCCUCCACCAACUCCUUCCCUCUGAGGAGGAGUGACAGCCUCAUGUCUGAGGUCUCAGGUCUGACAUACUGGCGUCUGGAUGAGAGUGAACUCUACUGCCCUCUACCUGACAGCUUUGACAGUGGAGCCGACCUCCUGCUGCAGGAGGCCUCUAUCAGUCUGACCUCUCCAGAGGAACAGAAGCUGUCUCUCAGAGAGAUCUACCACAACAAGCAGAGAACUGAGUCCAAACGCACCGACUGGGACCUCUCUCGCACAUGCAGCCCCACAUCACCACAGGUGUUAACUCUAGAUCCCACUGUUCACCUCCGUCAGUCAGACCGGACCUCCGGCUUCACCUCGCCCUCCCACUUCAGCAGCCCAUCGUACCCCACCCUGCCGCACCUCUACCCCCGCGUUGGCACCCCCUGUACCCCAGUUAGCCCAGCUAGCAUGGCCGAGGGCAGUGCCAACCCCGGGGACACAGACUGCCCCUCCAAUGCCUCUAGCCUCUCUGCCACCGCACCUACCCCAGCCAGGGUAGCCUCUGCUCAGAUAAAACUGGCCUCAUCAUCCCCCUCUACUUCCAAGCCCCUGGUGCUGCCCAGCAGCCAGCAGCGCAAAGCCUUGGCCACUCAGGCCAGCAAGGACGAGGGGAGCCACACACACACCAGAAACCUGAUGAAGCUGGCUGUGUCUGGGAAGCACACGCACUCCCACACACUCUCCCGGGGCAAACCUCGUAUGGAGAAAGCGGCAUCGCUGGAAGACCCUGUGGUCGUCUCUCUGUGAGUGGCCAGGGGCUGGUUAUGUUUUUAUACACUGCUCAAAAAAAUAAAGGGAACACUUACACUUAAACAACACAAUGUAACUCCAAGUCAAUCACACUUCUGUGAAAUCAAACUGUCCACUUAGGAAGCAACACUGAUUGACAAUAAAUUUCACAUGCUGUUGUGCAAAUGGAAUAGACAGCAGGUGGAAAUUAUAGGCAAUUAGCAAGACACCCCCAAUAAAGGAGUGGUUCUGCAGGUGGUGACUCAUUAUUACACGGGUUAUUCUACCGCUA